rnacentral:rRNA from 1 species
GCACAGGGACAGGGAUUUUCGUGAGUUGUUAAAGAAAGUUGAUGCACCACGUUUUUGUAAACGAAUGAUUAAUGAAGAGAAGGAAAAAAAGAUUUAUAAGUAUGAAUGUAUGGAGUGUUCACUUCAAUAUGUAAGAAGGCGUCAAAUAAAUAUAAAAAGAUAUGUCUGUGGAAAGUGUAAAGGGAAACUCAAACCGAUAUCGAAAACAUCUUGACAGUAAAAACGCAAUCCAGUAUAUUAUAAACAUGUCACGUUUGAACAAGAUGUUGUUAAAAACUUCUUGACUUACAGAGAGAAUUUUUAUAAGAUACAAAUUGUCUUCAUUAUUCCGCAGUAGCUCAGUGGUAGAGCUAUCGGCUGUUAACCGAUCGGUCGUAGGUUCGAGUCCUACCUGCGGAGCCAUACAGAGAAGUACCCAAGUGGCUCAAGGGGCUCCCCUGCUAAGGGAGUAGAUCGCUAACGCGGUGCGAGGGUUCGAAUCCCUUCUUCUCUGCCAUACAUAUUGGCCCGUUGGUCAAGUGGUUAAGACACCGCCCUUUCACGGCGGUAACACGGGUUCGAAUCCCGUACGGGUCACCACUUCGGAGGAUUAGCUCAGCUGGGAGAGCACCUGCCUUACAAGCAGGGGGUCGGCGGUUCGAUCCCGUCAUCCUCCACCAUAUAAUUUUAUAUGAAUAGUAUUGUCGCGGGGUGGAGCAGCACGGUAGCUCGUCGGGCUCAUAACCCGAAGGUCGCAGGUUCAAAUCCUGUCNGGGUGAUGGCGUGCCUUUUGUAGAAUGAACCGGCGAGUUACGAUCCCGUGCGAGGUUAAGCUGAAGAGGCGGAGCCGCAGCGAAAGCGAGUCUGAAUAGGGCGUUUAGUACGUGGUCGUAGACCCGAAACCAGGUGAUCUACCCAUGUCCAGGGUGAAGUUCAGGUAACACUGAAUGGAGGCCCGAACCCACGCACGUUGAAAAGUGCGGGGAUGAGGUGUGGGUAGCGGAGAAAUUCCAAUCGAACCUGGAGAUAGCUGGUUCUCCCCGAAAUAGCUUUAGGGCUAGCCUUAAGUGUAAGAGUCUUGGAGGUAGAGCACUGAUUGGACUAGGGGUCCUCAUCGGAUUACCGAAUUCAGUCAAACUCCGAAUGCCAAUGACUUAUCCUUAGGAGUCAGACUGCGAGUGAUAAGAUCCGUAGUCAAAAGGGAAACAGCCCAGACCGCCAGCUAAGGUCCCAAAGUGUGUAUUAAGUGGAAAAGGAUGUGGAGUUGCUUAGACAACUAGGAUGUUGGCUUAGAAGCAGCCACCAUUUAAAGAGUGCGUAAUAGCUCACUAGUCGAGUGACUCUGCGCCGAAAAUGUACCGGGGCUAAAUACACCACCGAAGCUGCGGAUUGAUACCAAUGGUAUCAGUGGUAGGGGAGCGUUCUAAGGACAGUGAAGUCAGACCGGAAGGACUGGUGGAGUGCUUAGAAGUGAGAAUGCCGGUAUGAGUAGCGAAAGACGGGUGAGAAUCCCGUCCACCGAAUGCCUAAGGUUUCCUGAGGAAGGCUCGUCCGCUCAGGGUUAGUCAGGACCUAAGCCGAGGCCGACAGGCGUAGGCGAUGGACAACAGGUUGAUAUUCCUGUACCACCUCUUUAUCGUUUGAGCAAUGGAGGGACGCAGAAGGAUAGAAGAAGCGUGCGAUUGGUUGUGCACGUCCAAGCAGUUAGGCUGAUAAGUAGGCAAAUCCGCUUAUCGUAAAGGCUGAGCUGUGAUGGGGAAGCUCCUUAUGGAGCGAAGUCUUUGAUUCCCCGCUGCCAAGAAAAGCUUCUAGCGAGAUAAAAGGUGCCUGUACCGCAAACCGACACAGGUAGGCGAGGAGAGAAUCCUAAGGUGUGCGAGAGAACUCUGGUUAAGGAACUCGGCAAAAUGACCCCGUAACUUCGGGAGAAGGGGUGCUUUCUUAACGGAAAGCCGCAGUGAAUAGGCCCAAGCGACUGUUUAGCAAAAACACAGCUCUCUGCGAAGCCGUAAGGCGAAGUAUAGGGGGUGACACCUGCCCGGUGCUGGAAGGUUAAGGAGAGGGGUUAGCGUAAGCGAAGCUCUGAACUGAAGCCCCAGUAAACGGCGGCCGUAACUAUAACGGUCCUAAGGUAGCGAAAUUCCUUGUCGGGUAAGUUCCGACCCGCACGAAAGGUGUAACGAUUUGGGCACUGUCUCAACCAGAGACUCGGUGAAAUUAUAGUACCUGUGAAGAUGCAGGUUACCCGCGACAGGACGGAAAGACCCCGUGGAGCUUUACUGUAGCCUGAUAUUGAAUUUUGGUACAGUUUGUACAGGAUAGGCGGGAGCCAUUGAAACCGGAGCGCUAGCUUCGGUGGAGGCGCUGGUGGGAUACCGCCCUGACUGUAUUGAAAUUCUAACCUACGGGUCUUAUCGACCCGGGAGACAGUGUCAGGUGGGCAGUUUGACUGGGGCGGUCGCCUCCUAAAGUGUAACGGAGGCGCCCAAAGGUUCCCUCAGAAUGGUUGGAAAUCAUUCGUAGAGUGCAAAGGCAUAAGGGAGCUUGACUGCGAGACCUACAAGUCGAGCAGGGACGAAAGUCGGGCUUAGUGAUCCGGUGGUUCCGCAUGGAAGGGCCAUCGCUCAACGGAUAAAAGCUACCCCGGGGAUAACAGGCUUAUCUCCCCCAAGAGUCCACAUCGACGGGGAGGUUUGGCACCUCGAUGUCGGCUCAUCGCAUCCUGGGGCUGUAGUCGGUCCCAAGGGUUGGGCUGUUCGCCCAUUAAAGCGGUACGCGAGCUGGGUUCAGAACGUCGUGAGACAGUUCGGUCCCUAUCCGUCGUGGGCGUAGGAAAUUUGAGAGGAGCUGUCCUUAGUACGAGAGGACCGGGAUGGACGCACCGCUGGUGUACCAGUUGUUCUGCCAAGGGCAUAGCUGGGUAGCUAUGUGCGGAAGGGAUAAGUGCUGAAAGCAUCUAAGCAUGAAGCCCCCCUCAAGAUGAGAUUUCCCAUAGCGUAAGCUAGUAAGAUCCCUGAAAGAUGAUCAGGUUGAUAGGUUCGAGGUGGAAGCAUGGUGACAUGUGGAGCUGACGAAUACUAAUAGAUCGAGGACUUAACCAU